rnacentral:rRNA from 1 species
UACGGAGGGUGCGAGCGUUAUUCGGAAUUAUUGGGCGUAAAGGGCGCGUAGGCGGCUGAACAAGUCAAAGGUGAAAUCCCUCGGCUCAACUGAGGAACUGCCUUUGAAACUGUUCGGCUUGAGGCCGGGAGGGGGUAGCGGAAUUCCCAGUGUAGCGGUGAAAUGCGUAGAUAUUGGGAGGAACACCAGUGGCGAAGGCGGCUACCUGGACCGGUUCUGACGCUGAGGCGCGAAAGCGUGGGGAGCAAACAGG